UACGUAGGCAGCAAGCGUUGUUCGGAGUUACUGGGCGUAAAGAGUGCGUAGGCGGUUCCGUAAGUUUGGUGUGAAAUCUCCCGGCUCAACUGGGAGGGUGCGCCGAAGACUGCGGUGCUUGAGUGUGGGAAAGGUAGGCGGAAUUCCUGGUGUAGCGGUGAAAUGCGUAGAUAUGUCAUAGAACACCGAUUGCGAAGGCAGCUCACAAAGCCAUUAUUGACGCUGAGGCACGAAAGCGUGGGGAUCAAACAGG
rnacentral:rRNA from 1 species